UGGCUUAUUACAAAACAACAGGAUGCUGCAGCUUUAUCAAAGUCUACUUAUUUGUCCACUAAAAGUUUAUGGCUAUACGUUUCCAACUAGAACAUCUGAACACCAAUAUAUGGAAUUCUGACAAAGUUAAAACCAGGAAGAGAUCCUAUGAAGGCUGACAUUUUGUACAUCUGUUUUAUAGAACAAUAAAAAUAAGAAGAACAAGAAUAAGAACAGCAACAACAUUUGCAGCCACUGUCUAGACCACAGGAAACCUGGUCAACAACAUAUGGGAUGUCACCAGAUUCAGACUCAGAAGUUUCCAUAAUGCCGUUGCCAACAGCUAGACACAGGAGAGUACUCUAUCUGUGUUCUUGAGUGGAGAUGAUGAAGAUUAGAACUAUACCUGAGUUGUGAUGAACAUGGAAAGUGAUUUGGAGAGUUGCACUUUUCUUGGAACCUGAGCCUGAGAAUUUGCUUAUGGAUUGUAUAUGAUGCCAGGAAAUGGAAUAGAGGACUGGGAAGAGUGAGAGAAGGAAGAGAAGCCAGGAGGAGAGUAUGUUACGAGCUGUGAAUAAUUGGGACUUGAUUCCGAUGAAGCAGAAAACCAGAAAUAUUUACAAAAGGAACUUUGAGAGAAAAAACAAAAUGCAUUUUUACAAAGGUAUAUGAUCAAUUCUCACCAAUACCACCAAUAUCACCAAUAGAUAAUGAGGACUGGAACUCUUUAUCUCUAAAAGAUGACCUGAAACACUAUGGAAAAGGAAGAUGCAUUACAACGUCCAUCUUCUCAUGGACAUGAUGACAUAGGUGAAGAAACGGCUAUAUAGAGAGAUAAAGAAGCUUGCUCAAGGAUACACAGCCAGAAAGCAAAAGAG
rnacentral:lncRNA from 10 species